rnacentral:rRNA from 1 species
CUGUGAGCUCGAUGAGUAGGGCGGGACACGUGGUAUCCUGUCUGAAUAUGGGGGGACCAUCCUCCAAGGCUAAAUACUCCUGACUGACCGAUAGUGAACCAGUACCGUGAGGGAAAGGCGAAAAGAACCCCGGCGAGGGGAGUGAAAAAGAACCUGAAACCGUGUACGUACAAGCAGUGGGAGCCUCUUUUAUGGGGUGACUGCGUACCUUUUGUAUAAUGGGUCAGCGACUUAUAUUCUGUAGCAAGGUUAACCGAAUAGGGGAGCCGAAGGGAAACCGAGUCUUAACUGGGCGUUAAGUUGCAGGGUAUAGACCCGAAACCCGGUGAUCUAGCCAUGGGCAGGUUGAAGGUUGGGUAACACUAACUGGAGGACCGAACCGACUAAUGUUGAAAAAUUAGCGGAUGACUUGUGGCUGGGGGUGAAAGGCCAAUCAAACCGGGAGAUAGCUGGUUCUCCCCGAAAGCUAUUUAGGUAGCGCCUCGUGAAUUCAUCUCCGGGGGUAGAGCACUGUUUCGGCAAGGGGGUCAUCCCGACUUACCAACCCGAUGCAAACUGCGAAUACCGGAGAAUGUUAUCACGGGAGACACACGGCGGGUGCUAACGUCCGUCGUGAAGAGGGAAACAACCCAGACCGCCAGCUAAGGUCCCAAAGUCAUGGUUAAGUGGGAAACGAUGUGGGAAGGCCCAGACAGCCAGGAUGUUGGCUUAGAAGCAGCCAUCAUUUAAAGAAAGCGUAAUAGCUCACUGGUCGAGUCGGCCUGCGCGGAAGAUGUAACGGGGCUAAACCAUGCACCGAAGCUGCGGCAGCGACGCUUAUGCGUUGUUGGGUAGGGGAGCGUUCUGUAAGCCUGUGAAGGUGUGCUGUGAGGCAUGCUGGAGGUAUCAGAAGUGCGAAUGCUGACAUAAGUAACGAUAAAGCGGGUGAAAAGCCCGCUCGCCGGAAGACCAAGGGUUCCUGUCCAACGUUAAUCGGGGCAGGGUGAGUCGACCCCUAAGGCGAGGCCGAAAGGCGUAGUCGAUGGGAAACAGGUUAAUAUUCCUGUACUUGGUGUUACUGCGAAGGGGGGACGGAGAAGGCUAUGUUGGCCGGGCGACGGUUGUCCCGGUUUAAGCGUGUAGGCUGGUUUUCCAGGCAAAUCCGGAAAAUCAAGGCUGAGGCGUGAUGACGAGGCACUACGGUGCUGAAGCAACAAAUGCCCUGCUUCCAGGAAAAGCCUCUAAGCAUCAGGUAACAUCAAAUCGUACCCCAAACCGACACAGGUGGUCAGGUAGAGAAUACCAAGGCGCUUGAGAGAACUCGGGUGAAGGAACUAGGCAAAAUGGUGCCGUAACUUCGGGAGAAGGCACGCUGAUAUGUAGGUGAAGCGACUUGCUCGUGGAGCUGAAAUCAGUCGAAGAUACCAGCUGGCUGCAACUGUUUAUUAAAAACACAGCACUGUGCAAACACGAAAGUGGACGUAUACGGUGUGACGCCUGCCCGGUGCCGGAAGGUUAAUUGAUGGGGUUAGCGGUAACGCGAAGCUCUUGAUCGAAGCCCCGGUAAACGGCGGCCGUAACUAUAACGGUCCUAAGGUAGCGAAAUUCCUUGUCGGGUAAGUUCCGACCUGCACGAAUGGCGUAAUGAUGGCCAGGCUGUCUCCACCCGAGACUCAGUGAAAUUGAACUCGCUGUGAAGAUGCAGUGUACCCGCGGCAAGACGGAAAGACCCCGUGAACCUUUACUAUAGCUUGACACUGAACAUUGAGCCUUGAUGUGUAGGAUAGGUGGGAGGCUUUGAAGUGUGGACGCCAGUCUGCAUGGAGCCGGCCUUGAAAUACCACCCUUUAAUGUUUGAUGUUCUAACGUUGGCCCCUGAUCGGGGUUGCGGACAGUGUCUGGUGGGUAGUUUGACUGGGGCGGUCUCCUCCUAAAGAGUAACGGAGGAGCACGAAGGUUGGCUAAUCCUGGUCGGACAUCAGGAGGUUAGUGCAAUGGCAUAAGCCAGCUUGACUGCGAGCGUGACGGCGCGAGCAGGUGCGAAAGCAGGUCAUAGUGAUCCGGUGGUUCUGAAUGGAAGGGCCAUCGCUCAACGGAUAAAAGGUACUCCGGGGAUAACAGGCUGAUACCGCCCAAGAGUUCAUAUCGACGGCGGUGUUUGGCACCUCGAUGUCGGCUCAUCACAUCCUGGGGCUGAAGUAGGUCCCAAGGGUAUGGCUGUUCGCCAUUUAAAGUGGUACGCGAGCUGGGUUUAGAACGUCGUGAGACAGUUCGGUCCCUAUCUGCCGUGGGCGCUGGAGAACUGAGGGGGGCUGCUCCUAGUACGAGAGGACCGGAGUGGACGCAUCACUGGUGUUCGGGUUGUCAUGCCAAUGGCACUGCCCGGUAGCUAAAUGCGGAAGAGAUAAGUGCUGAAAGCAUCUAAGCACGAAACUUGCCCCGAGAUGAGUUCUCCCUGAGACUUUAAGUCUCCUGAAGGAACGUUGAAGACGACGACGUUGAUAGGCCGGGUGUGUAAGCGCAGCGAUGCGUUGAGCUAACCGGUACUAAUGAACCGUGAGGCUUAACCUU